rnacentral:lncRNA from 1 species
CGACGGUCGAUAUGGAGUAGUUUGACCUGCUGGUUCAGCGGGUCAGAGGCCUCACCGAAGCAGUGCAGACCAUGCAGCAGCAGCAACAGCCACAGACGUCAGUGCGGUUGGAAAGAGCAUCAUCGGAGUUCCAAGAUCCGGUAGUAGGGCGGGCCACCUAGGCCAGUCAUCCUAUCUUCCCCGAAAAGAGAAAUUCGAGGGUGGAGAGCCCUUAGUCUGAUCACGAUUCCACUCCCGAAGGAUCCCUACCUCCACUCUAUCGGAAGACCCUCGAGACUCACAGUCGAGAGGACCUCCUGGAUCGAAGGCUCCAGGAGAUGAACCGACAGAUCGAAGAGCUCCACCACACUCCCCCUGAUUAUGGUAAGGACAUCUGUGCUGACCCUCCUUUCUCUCAAAUGAUCAUCAACACCAUCUCUAGAGGGCCCCGAAAGAGAGUGACCGGUG